GACGGAGGGUGCAAGCGUUGUUCGGAUUGACUGGGCGUAAAGGGCGUGUAGGCGGUUGGGCAAGUCCGAUGUGAAAGCCCGGGGCUCAGCUUCGGAAGUGCAUCGGAAACUAGCCAGCUGGAGCGCGAUAGAGGAGGGCGGAAUUCCUGGUGUAGCGGUGAAAUGCGUAGAUAUCAGGAGGAACACCGGCGGCGAAGGCGGCCCUCUGGAUCGUUGCUAACGCUGAGACGCGAAAGCGUGGGGAGCAAACAGG
rnacentral:rRNA from 1 species